rnacentral:lncRNA from 10 species
AACGUGCUAGCAGCCCUCGCUCGCUCUGGGCGCCUCCUCGGCCUCAGCGUCCGCUCUGGCCGCGCUCGAGGAGCCCUUCAGCCCGCCGCUGCGCUAUGAAGGCCCCUCUCUGGGGCUGGCCGAGGCUGGAGCCGGCUCCCUCUGCUCGCGGGCAAGUGUGAAGAGAGAGGCGCGGGCGGGAGCCGGGGCUGCGCGCGGCGCUCGCGGGCCGGCGCGGGUUCCAGAUGCAUUUUUGUAGAAGCAUUUUGAGGAUGAAUGUUUGCAAAUCAUUUUGAAAUUGCCAAGUGCCACAUACAAUUUAAUUGGAUUUGAGGGAAAUACAGGCUGCAAUGGUGGGAAUAGUUAAAAUGGAAUGUAUCCUGCUUUCAUCUUGGAGUUCACCUGUGUGGCUUGGAUUUAUCACAGUAGCAUUUGUCUUCAAUCUGUGUGUUAACUAGAAAUCAAGGAAAGACAUGAGGAGAUUUGUCUACUGCAAGGUGGUUCUAGCCACUUCGCUGAUGUGGGUUCUUG